rnacentral:rRNA from 1 species
GACGAACGCUGGCGGCGUGCUUAACACAUGCAAGUCGAGCGGUAAGGCCCUUUCGGGGGUACACGAGCGGCGAACGGGUGAGUAACACGUGGGUGACCUGCCCUCAGCUCUGGGAUAAGCCUGGGAAACCGGGUCUAAUACCGGAUAUGACUCCAUGACGCAUGUUGUGGGGUGGAAAGCCUUGUGCGGCUGAGGAUGGGCCCGCGGCCUAUCAGCUUGUUGGUGGGGUGANGGCCUACCAAGGCGACGACGGGUAGCCGGCCUGAGAGGGCGACCGGCCACACUGGGACUGAGACACGGCCCAGACUCCUACGGGAGGCAGCAGUGGGGAAUCUUGCGCAAUGGGACGAAAGCCUGACGCAGCGACGCCGCGUGAGGGAUGAC